rnacentral:rRNA from 1 species
UUACGGGAGGCAGCAGUGGGGAAUCUUGCACAAUGGGCGAAAGCCUGAUGCAGCGACGCCGCGUGAGCGAUGAAGCCCUUCGGGGUGUAAAGCUCUUUCGACGGGAACGAUAAUGACGGUACCCGGAGAAGAAGCUGCGGCUAACUACGUGCCAGCAGCCGCGGUAAUACGUAGGCAGCGAGCGUUGUUCGGAAUUACUGGGCGUAAAGAGUGUGUAGGCGGUGCUCCCAGUCUGUUGUGAAAUCUCCCGGCUUAACUGGGAGGGUGCAGCGGAAACUAGAGUGCUAGAGGGUGGGAGAGGUAAGCGGAAUUCCUGGUGUAGCGGUGAAAUGCGUAGAUAUCAGGAGGAACACCUGUGGUGUAGACAGCUUACUGGACCACUUCUGACGCUGAGACACGAAAGCGUGGGUAGCAAACAGGAUUAGAUACCCCGGUAGU